rnacentral:piRNA from 1 species
UNGUUGCCUGCAAUUCUUCAUCUAGGGUUGG